UCAUGCAGUCGAGCGAAUGGAUUGAGAGCUUGCUCUCAAGAAGUUAGCGGCGGACGGGUGAGUAACACGUGGGUAACCUGCCCAUAAGACUGGGAUAACUCCGGGAAACCGGGGCUAAUACCGGAUAACAUUUUGAACUGCAUGGUUCGAAAUUGAAAGGCGGCUUCGGCUGUCACUUAUGGAUGGACCCGCGUCGCAUUAGCUAGUUGGUGAGGUAACGGCUCACCAAGGCAACGAUGCGUAGCCGACCUGAGAGGGUGAUCGGCCACACUGGGACUGAGACACGGCCCAGACUCCUACGGGAGGCAGCAGUAGGGAAUCUUCCGCAAUGGACGAAAGUCUGACGGAGCAACGCCGCGUGAGUGAUGAAGGCUUUCGGGUCGUAAAACUCUGUUGUUAGGGAAGAACAAGUGCUAGUUGAAUAAGCUGGCACCUUGACGGUACCUAACCAGAAAGCCACGGCUAACUACGUGCCAGCAGCCGCGGUAAUACGUAGGUGGCAAGCGUUAUCCGGAAUUAUUGGGCGUAAAGCGCGCGCAGGUGGUUUCUUAAGUCUGAUGUGAAAGCCCACGGCUCAACCGUGGAGGGUCAUUGGAAACUGGGAGACUUGAGUGCAGAAGAGGAAAGUGGAAUUCCAUGUGUAGCGGUGAAAUGCGUAGAGAUAUGGAGGAACACCAGUGGCGAAGGCGACUUUCUGGUCUGUAACUGACACUGAGGCGCGAAAGCGUGGGGAGCAAACAGGAUUAG
rnacentral:rRNA from 1 species